AUGAUUUUUUUUCCUUACCAAAGGGCAUCCAGUGGAAGAUCAUGGUUAUGGAAGUUUGGGGAGAAGGAAACCACCAUUCAUCCAUGCAAUGAGAUAUCUUGUUACAAGUAUCUUACUCUAACUGUUUCUGAGAGAAUGCCUUCAGGACUUGAUGUGCCCCCUGUCCCAACCCACAGGAUGGAAACAUUCUGGUACCACUUGAGCCACUGUGGAGCCCAGCAGAGCCCCACAGACACUUGGAAGAGGAUUAUGGGUCCUUUCCCACAAAUCUAGAGACAGUCAUCACCUGCCUUGGCUUGUGACUACCUCUUCACAGAUAAUUCUUGAGAUUGGUUUGUUGACAAUGCAAACAUUCAACUCCAUGGGAUUUCUGUAGGGGCAAGAAAAUAAGCCCUUGCUUGGCCGCAAGGGCAGCAAUAUGGUGAAAAGCAACAGCAGCCAUCCUCUGCAAUGCCUCCUGGCCAGUCUUGCUCUACUCAAACUUUCAGAAAAGGGCUUUGCAGUUGUCUCCAGCCCCUGCAAAGAGUGUGGGGGAAGCGGGAGACCAGGGCCUGUGCCAGGAUGAGGGGUGCAGGGUGCAGUAGCAGGGGAGGCAGGCAGAAGGGAUCUGCCCACAGCCCAAGCUGUGACAGAGAAAUUGAAAUGUAAAUUCUGCACCCUGGCAAUAAAUUUCACAGCAGCCUAAUUUUCCUAGGAAUGACGCCUUGGGCAGAGCCUGUGUGGGCCAGAAAGGAACGGGCUUUAAAUUUUCUAGAACUCCCUAAUCCGCUUUAUCAGUCGCUUCUCCCUAAACUGCUGCUGCUCCCUAAGAGAUUUAAAGCCACAGUGGCUUCUUCAAGGCCUCUUCCAGAUUAUUAUAUUUAUUCUCAUCCAGUCAAGACAGAGAAACAUUAGCAUGUGAUUUACACUGCAGGACCAAUCGCAGAUACCGGCACUCAAUAUUUGAAAUUCAAGCAGUAGCUACUUGCAACAAGCUGGUCAGGAUCAAUUUGGAAAUAACAAGGAGGGUUCUGCCUUUUUAGAAAGGUGAUUGUUGAGGUCUGUCAGUCUUACCAGCACAUGCAAUGGCACUCACAAAGUAUUAAUACAUGUGUCUGUGCUAGGUUUAAUUCCUUUCUUUUGUUUAAGGUUUUUUUUUUUCCUCUUGCAACCAUCUGCUUUUCCUCUCAUGUUUCAAGUCUUUAUAUCUAUCUGUCAAGCAGGCAGUGGAUUCAGGAUGGGUUUUCAUGCCAAGGCAUUCCUUUAUCUAAUGAAAACAAGUGAAUAAAACAUAAGAGAAGUAGCUUUAAAUUAAAAAUAGAGAGGAAAAAAACCCUAAAGAAAACCAAUAUCUGAAGGGAAACAUUUUUUCCUAGGAAAAUGCCUAUUGGAUAGAUGAAUUUCUAUUUAUUUCUUGUAAUUUAAAUAGGCGUCUAUAAUUAUACCCUAUUUAAAUAAGAAUAAUGACCAUGUCUGGCAGAAGAGAAAUAUAUACGUAUGUGAAGAGUCAAGACAAUGCAGAUAAACUUCUGAUGGCAUGACAUAUUCAUGCAGAGUAGUCACUUUUCAAAACUAAAAUUUCCUCCCAAAGGCCUCCAGUUUGUAUUAUUAAUGACAUUUUUCUUAGCCUGCAUUACCAUUUCCAUUGGAGGGGAAAAAAGACAAAAACUUUUCUCAAGUUUGAAAGGAAAAAGUGGUCUCUGAGGCACAAAUAUCAAAUGCUUUUGCACAAACCUUUGAAUAGAUUUCAUCCACAUGGUUUUCUAAAUUAGUAGAGUGAGCAUCCACUCCUGGCCUGAGACCCUGUGCUGAGGAACUCAGAGAUGAGGUACAGCUAAAUGGCAAACCUGGAGGGAAAAAAAAGCACAGAAAAAGCAUUUCCCAAUGCUACACUGCAACAGCAGCCCCACGCAGCAGGGCACCUUCCAGCCUUCAGAACACUGGUCGCAUUUCACAGUAGCUUUGGUGAAGUGAAUA
ensembl:lncRNA